UUGUGAGGUCACAUGGAUGAAAAGCACAGAAAACUUAUAAGAAGCUCAGAAGGUGACAGAGCAGUGAAUAGCUGAAUAUUCUGUACAGAGUGCAUAAACUCUCAAAUGAUCAAACUGAGAAAAACAGUUUACAGGUGCUUUAAAAGAAGGCCAGAAGAUUACACAGGAGAGACAGAAGACAAGCAUCUUAAUAUAGAUCAUUCCUAAGACAACUGAUCGAAGUAUUUUUUAACUAGUCCUAAUGAAAGCCGCAGCAGUUGAAAACAGAGAUCUAUAUUUACACGAUAAUUUAUGUUUCUAAUAAUGCCAUUUAUAUGAAUAACAUGUUUGUUCUAACUGGAUAAUAAACUAUAUGCUAAGACCAUAGCAAGCCAGAGGCACAUUAGUCUCUGCAUUUCUAAUCAAAUGUGGCUCUAGAGGCUCGGCAUUACCAUCCUGAUUUUACAUCACUUCAUUGUUUUGCAAGGGCAGGAACACGGGGGGUGGGAAGUCACCUGAAAUCAUAAAGGAAACAUGUAAAGCAAUAUUUCCCAGCCUGUUAGCUUUCUGAAUCUCAUUUCUAUGUCUUUGCAUAAUGAGAAGGAAAAUAAAAAGAAACUCAUUUGGAAAUGAAUGACCUUUGCACUGAUGUAAUCAAAGCAAAGCCCUUGGGAAUCACUUCAGAUGAAAGAUGCUAUAUGAAAGUUUGUUAUUAGUGUUUUUCAGUUACAAUGACACUAUCUUGGAGUUAUGGAAAAACUGAAAGAACUAGAAUACUUGUGAACUAGGCUUGUAAAAUCAUGUUAGGGCUAUUAUUACUUUGAAAACUUAAGCAUGAUGAGACAGUGGAUGUAAUUUUAGAAGAAUCUUUAUAGAAAAUAAUUAUGUCAUUUAUUAGCUUAUAUUCCUACGUAUACCAGGAAAGGAAAAGGGUGAAUUAUUUUGA